GUCGAACAAGCAGUCCAAGGCGGUCUGUGAAGAGCGUGUUUAUCACUCAUCUCUGGAGCCCUGCCAGAGUCUUGAAGCAGCACUGAGCGGAGAACGAGGGGGCGUGGCCUGUGGUCCGUGUGCGCUCUAGCUGCUGAGAUGAGCUAUUUAAAGCUAAAGCGCUCCGUGUGCUCCCCGAGCUUCGCGUGCUGUCAGGACAGGAACAGCCAGUGAAAUAUUAUUAAUCUGACUGAGUGAAGUUACUGAGUUACUGACGACCAUUUGAAGCCAGCUGAGGAACCACGAUUUCAGUGCAACUGGGACGCUUUGAAGCCGCCCCCUGGAGGAAUGGGUGUGAAGGUGCUCCUGUGCUUCCCUUUCUACAGGCGCUGCAAAGACAAAUGCAAGAACAGGCAGUGCCCUCCUGAGACAGAAACUGCCAUAUCAAGUGAGGAACCAAAGCCACGUCUCUCUUCCACCACAUCAAUGGGCAGUGAGGGUGACAGCGGGAGCAGCCUGGGUGGCCCUCAGGUGUAUUUUUCCCAGAAGGCUCGGGUCUCCUUCAGACACCAGAUGGACAGCAACAUCAAUGCAGUAGAUGCCACAUAUUAACUCCCAUUGGUUGCCAAGCUCUUGAAAAUAACUCUGACCCCUCAGUUGUGAACUGUCCGGAGAGACAGGGGGUGUUAUCAUGGGUAAUGGAAGGUGAACUGAAACGAGAUGUGUCUCAUAGCCACUCAAUGGAUGACCUCUUUAAGUGCUGACACAAAGAUGGAAUCAGUCAGUGUGUUUGCCAGCAAAACACCACUGACUGGCAGAGUUACACUGAAGAGAGAAAGGGAAAAUGAAGGUCCUGAGCUUUUAUGCAGAGAUGUGUAUGAGACUACAAAAAGUGCUUUCUGUGUUCUUUAGUUUCUGUCCUGCUCGCUUCCCUUGGCAUGGCCUUUCAUAUUUUCUGGUACUUCUACACAGAUGUCUGCUUAUGGUUGAUGGUUCUGUGCAACUACUUUUUGUCAUGUUUUCAUUUUACCAGCAAAUUAUUCAGUUCUUAUUAUUCUUAUUCUUUGCUAACAAACCCUAACUGCAAAUAGUAUCAGCAAAAAGAGGUCGAGGUCUUUUCUCUGGCUUAAAAAAGAAGUUCUUUUCUUUUUUAGGCCGUUUUGGUUUCUUUACAAGUGCUCUUUUCCUUUUGCCUCUUAUACUGACGUAGAGCUCAGAUUGGUUUGUAUGCAGACACAAGAUGUUAAAUACUACACACAUUUGUUCAUUCUUAAUUCUUCACACUUUAACAGCAUCAAGUAGCGACAUCACAGCAAACAGGUUUACGUUUAUCCUAGAGUACUGUUAGUGAUUGUCAAGACAGUGCUGUAACCCAUCUUGUCAACCACCAUAACACUGUUUAAAAAGUUUUAUAUGUCUUUUAUAAGUUUGCAGAGUUUAACAAAAAAAUGUGAUCCACAAAAACGAGGUUGAUACAGAGAUUUCAUUAAUGCCAAAAUUACAUUUCUCUGCAUUUAAAAAAAAAAUACAAAUAAACAAUAAGGUCAAAACUUGUUUAACAGAAUGCAAGAAAACAUUGUGAUCAAAUCUGGUUUGGUCAAAUUUAAACAAAAAAGUGAUUUUUAAACUGUCCAUUGCUCUCACAGAGCUCUCUGUCUCCAAGGUGUGAUUUUAUGAUCUGUAUGUGCCAUUUUGCUAUUAAAAACAGUUCUAAAACCUC